AGCGAACGCUGGCGGCAGGCCUAACACAUGCAAGUCGAACGAACUCUUCGGAGUUAGUGGCGGACGGGUGAGUAACACGUGGGAACGUGCCUUUUGGUUCGGAAUAACUCAGGGAAACUUGUGCUAAUACCGAAUGUGCCCUUCGGGGGAAAGAUUUAUCGCCAUUAGAGCGGCCCGCGUCUGAUUAGCUAGUUGGUGAGGUAACGGCUCACCAAGGCGACGAUCAGUAGCUGGUCUGAGAGGAUGACCAGCCACACUGGGACUGAGACACGGCCCAGACUCCUACGGGAGGCAGCAGUGGGGAAUCUUGCGCAAUGGGCGAAAGCCUGACGCAGCCAUGCCGCGUGAAUGAUGAAGGUCUUAGGAUUGUAAAAUUCUUUCACCGGGGACGAUAAUGACGGUACCCGGAGAAGAAGCCCUGGCUAACUUCGU
rnacentral:rRNA from 1 species